GUUACAGACCUGUUCUCUCACUCAGGGACUUUCAGCUUCAUCUGACCCUCAAACGUCAUCUCAUGUUGUCUCGUCUGAAGCUCAGAUUCUAAUUUUAAUACAGGAACAGAAAUGUCUGCUGGAACUGCGUCACGCUGCUCCAAUUUCCUGUUUUUCAGCGUCUUUGUCUUUGUCUCAGCAGGUCAGAAAUCCAUCACAGCUAAGUCUGGACAGGACGUCACUCUGACAUGUCGAGCUCCAAACAACAACAACAACAUCAGAUCUGCACACUGGAGCAGAGCUGGCCUGUGAGAUAAAUAUGUGCUUUUGUACCGGGGUGGACAGUUUGUUCCAGAUGACCAGCAUCCAUCUUUUAAGAACCGGGUGGAUCUGCAGGACAGACAGAUGAAGGAUGGAGACGUGUCUUUGAUUCUAAGAAAUGUGUCGAUUGCUGAUAUUGGAACAUACGAGUGUCAUGUUUACAUGACAGAAAGACACUCAUGGAAGAUCAUCAGCAACACCACCCUGAGUGUUGUUGUUUGUCAAGCCUUUUUGGCCAGGGUGAAGGGAGUAUCUGCCAUCAAACAAGAAGACAGCCGCAUGUAACUACGACGAGGUUUGCUAGUUCACCUUACAUGCAUUAAUGUAAUAACGUGGUUAGUGUACUCAACGUAAAUUACACACGAACAACAUGAAGCUACUCACGCAGAGGAGAACGGCUGCUGCUGCCAUCAUCAUCCGUCAUCAUUUCUGCUACACUGACAGGGCUAGGGGCCAGG
ensembl:lncRNA